rnacentral:rRNA from 1 species
AGAGUUUGAUCCUGGCUCAGGAUGAACGCUGGCGGCGUGCUUAACACAUGCAAGUCGAACGAUGAUCCCAGCUUGCUGGGGGAUUAGUGGCGAACGGGUGAGUAACACGUGAGUAACCUGCCCUUAACUCUGGGAUAAGCCUGGGAAACUGGGUCUAAUACCGGAUAUGACUCCUCAUCGCAUGGUGGGGGGUGGAAAGCUUUAUUGUGGUUUUGGAUGGACUCGCGGCCUAUCAGCUUGUUGGUGAGGUAAUGGCUCACCAAGGCGACGACGGGUAGCCGGCCUGAGAGGGUGACCGGCCACACUGGGACUGAGACACGGCCCAGACUCCUACGGGAGGCAGCAGUGGGGAAUAUUGCACAAUGGGCGAAAGCCUGAUGCAGCGACGCCGCGUGAGGGAUGACGGCCUUCGGGUUGUAAACCUCUUUCAGUAGGGAAGAAGCGAAAGUGACGGUACCUGCAGAAGAAGCGCCGGCUAACUACGUGCCAGCAGCCGCGGUAAUACGUAGGGCGCAAGCGUUAUCCGGAAUUAUUGGGCGUAAAGAGCUCGUAGGGCGGUUUGUCGCGUCUGCCCGUGAAAGUCCGGGGCUCAACUCCGGAUCUGCGGUGGGUACGGGCAGACUAGAGUGAUGUAGGGGAGACUGGAAUUCCUGGUGUAGCGGUGAAAUGCGCAGAUAUCAGGAGGAACACCGAUGGCGAAGGCAGGUCUCUGGGCAUUAACUGACGCUGAGGAGCGAAAGCAUGGGGAGCGAACAGGAUUAGAUACCCUGGUAGUCCAUGCCGUAAACGUUGGGCACUAG